UUUUGCUAACAAUACUAGAGGGAGGGAGGUCGUGUAAAUGUUCGGGGGAGGGAGAAAAUGAACAGUAGAAAUGAAGAGUCAGAGAGUGAAAUUAAAACCAGGAGCUUAGCCUAACGAGCAUAUGAAAGUAAGUCUUGCUCUGGGUCUGAUAUAUAUCAAUGGCAAUGGACCUACGGGUCAUAUACAAUGGCAAUGGACUUACGGGUCAUAUAUACAAUGGCAAUGGACCUUCGGGUCAUAUAUAUGUAUGCAAUGGUAAUGAGACCUCCGGAUCAUAUUAUACAAUGGCAAUGGACCUUUGGGUCAUGUAUAUAUGUCCAAAGGCAAUGGGACUUACGGGUCGUAUACAAUGGAAAUCCCGGGCAGAUACCAGACUUGAUUUGUCACAGAAUAUGAGAAUAAUAAAUUGAACAUAGAGGCAUAUGAAUAUGAAAUGUUGAUGAUAUUUAAUGUUUAUGGUUAUGUCUGUUGAUGUAGAAUAUUGUAUGUAAGCUAAUAAAUGAUGGACUUUUUUUUUAUUAUGGUA